CACUAUUUGGCAAGCUUAUAAUUUCUAAGCUACAACAAAUAGAACAAGUCUAGUUGAAGCAUCAUAAUGUAUAUACUUAAAAAUUCUGUUUUCUAUACUGCAACAGUGUGAUGAUGUCACUAUUAAAAAUGGCAUCCUUUCAAUGAAAUAGCUGAAAAUCAAGGUUAUUGAGUGGUAUUUUUCAAUGAGAUCAGCAAUUUCUGUUCAAAGAAAAUUUCAAAAGAAGUAUAAAUGUUCAUAUGCAUCUGACAGGAAGUCCACAGUGUGAUAUGUGAGACACUUUCAUGACUGGUGAUUGAUAUAUUGAAAGCAAAGCUCAAAUGUGAACAAAUGCAAUGCUUGAAGACAUCCAAAGAUGAAAGGAGGAACCAAUGAAGAAAUUGCUUCAAAACUUAUUGCUAGAGGCAAGGCUCUCUUGCACCAUGACAUGUUGCGUUUUUAAUGAUUUGAGGCAUAUUUUCAUUUCACAGGGAAUGUAAACUGCCAGAAUGUGAGAUUUUAGGAAAGGAAAAAUUCUUCACAAAAUUCAUGAGUUGCCCAUCCAUCUCCAAAAAAAUGCUCACCUGUUCACCAUUUCGACACAAGAACUAAUCGGACCAUUCUUCUUUGAGAAGUAUGACACUAGUGAGAAUUAUCUAGAAAUGUUAGAUACAUUUUUCCUGCCAGAUUUAUGAUGAUGAUGAUUCAGAAUGAAUGCAGUGGAUUCAACAAGACAGGGCUCAGCUCCACACAACUGAAGAAGCGCUGAACUUCACUUAUCAAAAAUUUAACAAUCGAGUAAUCCCUUUCAAUCCUUCAAUUAUGCCUACAAUUAUUUUAUGUGGGGAUUAUGAAUUCCCACAGAUAUUAUAUUUCAAACUUCCUAUUUUACAAAAGUUACAGAAAAUUUCUUUAAACUAUGU
rnacentral:lncRNA from 1 species